GAUAGGGGAUGCACGGAUAGGGGGGACGCACGGACACGGGGGGACGCACGGACACGGGGGGACGCACGGACACGGGGGGAUGCACGGACAUGGGGGGAUGCAUGGACAUGGGGACACACGGACAUGGGGGGGCACGUGGGUACAUGAGGACGCGCGGACACGGGGGGAUGCAUGGACACAGGGGGGCACAUGGGUAAAUGAGGACACAUGGACACGGGGACGCACGGACAGGGAGGGAUGCAUGGACACGGGGACGCACGGACACGGAGGGAUGCACGGACAUGGCGAGACGCACGGACACGGGGGGGCACAUGGGUACAUAAGGACGCACGGACACACGGACACGGGGGGGCACAUGGGUACAUGAGACACACGGACAUGGGGGACAGAGACACAUGGGGACAGGCGGACACAGGGACAGGCGGACACACAGGCUAAAGGAUAGGGGGACAUGGGGACACACAGACACGUGGGGACAGAUGGACAUGGGGACAGGGGGGGACACAGCCAUGGGGACACAGGGAGGGACAGGAACAGGCGGACAAAGGGACACACAGACAUGGGGACAGACGGAUGCAGGGAUGUGGGGACGGGCGGGCACACGAACAUGGGGCCAAACAGACACAGGCACAUGUGGGCCCACGGACCCGGGGACAGACAGACCCAGGGACAGGCGGACUCGGGGACAGACACAUGGGGACAGGCGGACACACAGGCUUAGGGACAGGGGGAUAUGGGGACGUACAGACAUAUGGGGACAGGAGGACACACAGGCACGGGGACACGGGGAUGGACAGGGACAGGCGGACAGAGGGACAGGCGGACAGAGGGACAGGCGGACAGAGGGACAGGCGGACAGAGGGACACACAGACAGGCAGAUGCAGGGAUGUGGGGAUGGGCAGACACACGAACACGGGGCCAAACAGACGCAGGCACAUGUGGGCCCACAGACCCGGGGACGGACAGACCCAGGGACAGACAGACCCGGGGACAGACGGACCCAGGGACAGACGGACCCAGGGACAGACAGACCCAGGGACAGACAGACCUGGGGACAGACGGACCCAGGGACAGACAGGCCUGGGGACAGAUGGACUCGGGGACAGACGGA
rnacentral:lncRNA from 1 species